rnacentral:lncRNA from 1 species
UCUUCUUAAUUGCAACUUUCUCAUCAGCCUCCCUAUUGAUGGAAGAGCACACUGCACCGUACAAUCCUCGACUGAUUGGCUUGAUUGGAACAUGCUUGGUAUCAACAUUGUUUGCCAUAUUGUGUAAUAAUGCUUACCCUUUGGCUUAAUCCUGCUGGGAGGCUCAAUUAAAGUUGCCAUUUUCUGUAACAGGCGUUCAACCAUUUGUUAAAGCUGGUUGUAGAAGAAUAUCAGUAUAAUGAGGGAAUUCACUUGACAACAAGGUAUGGCAGUGCACAACAUCUUUCAUUACAGAAUCUUCUUUCUCCCUUGUUGAUCUCAUACCUCAAAGACAAAGAAAUUCACAACUGAUGCAGCUUCAAGCAGAGGUUCUGUUAGACCUUAAUCAAUUUCUAUAGAGUGGAUCAUAUCAUUGCCACUCUUAUCAUCAUGUAAUAAUAUAAUACUAAUAUGCUAUCCCUCUAUUUUAUCCAGAUCGGGAUUCAGAACAAAGAGGAAGGGCAUCUAAGGUUAUGCUACAAGAGCAGGGAAAGCAACAAGUAUCAGCAUUAUUGAAUAGAGUGGAACUAAACAAGUGUUGGUAUUUGAUCUAUGUAUUUUGCAUCAACUCGAGCCUUAGCCAACACCUUAUUCAUACAGUUAUUCUGUCUUGCAUCUCAAGCUCCUCAAUCUUUAACAACUAUGAUGUUGUAUGCCUUAAUGUAAUUAAAUAUACUUUGUAACCAAUAAAUCUUACUCAUGAUUUAAUGUAGUUACAGUGAAGUCCCCAACAGGGAGG